GGAGUCGGCUAAGUCAUCGCUGCAUUCAUUUUGAAUGUGGAGGAAAGUCCGGGCUCCAUAGGGCAGAGUGCCAGGUAAUACCUGGGCGGCGUGAGCCGACGGAAAGUGCCACAGAAACUAUACCGCCAGGUCAUCUUUUAGGUGAUCUGGUAAGGGUGAAAUGGUGCGGUAAGAGCGCACCGCGCGGAUGGUAACAUCUCGCGGCAGGGCAAACCCCACUCGGAGCAAGGCCAAAUAGGGGAGCAUGAGCGUGGCCCGCGCUGCUCCCGGGUAGGCCGCUUGAGAUGCUCGGUGACGGGCAUCCUAGAUGAAUGAUGACUCUCGACAGAACCCGGCUUAUCGGCCGACUCCACUC
rnacentral:RNase_P_RNA from 1 species